rnacentral:rRNA from 1 species
AUGUGCAGCCGCCGCCACCACGUGGCCGCGCCGUUGGAAGACGACGACCUGCUUUCCGAGAUCCUGCUCCGCCUCUCCGAGCAGCCCUCCUCCCUCCCGCGCGCGUCCCUCGUCUGCAAGCUCUGGCGCAGCCUCGUCUCCGAUCCCGGCUUCUGCCGCCGCUUCCGCCUCCGCCACCGCUGCAACGCCCCUCUCCUCGGUUUCUUUGACAAGUACGAUGAUCUGUCCUUCCUACCUACUCUGGAUGCCCCCAAUCAAGUCCCUCCCGGGCGCUUCUCCUUGCCGUUCGACGUCGAUGAUUACCACUUUUCCCUGGGGUGCCGCCAUGGCCUCCUACUCUUCUGGCCUAUGAAGCGUUUCCAGGUCGUGGUGUGGGACCCCAUCACCGGAGACCAGCACCGCAUUGCCGUUCCCCCGGGGUUCGAGAGGACGCAUGGGGCGGUGCUUCGCACUACCGGAGACGAACACUUCCAGGUGGUCUUGACAGUUACACUUUCGGAUGACAAGCAACAUACACGUGUGACUGCCUGUGUUUACUCGUCAAAGACCGGCUUGUGGGGAGAUCGUAUCUCAACACCGCUUCCAUACCAGCCUGUUGUAAGCGGUUCUCCCACCAUGCUUUAUGAGCUUGAAGCUGUGCUGGUUGGAGAUUCCCUUUACUGGAUGUUUUCUGGGAAUUUUGAGGGAAUUCUCAAGUUUGAUUUGGAGAAGCAGAGCCUAGCUGUGGUACGAGUUCCAGUGGAUAUGUAUGGCAAGGGCAACUAAUUUCAGGUUAUGAGGGCUGCGGGUGGUGGGCUGGGUUUCCUCUUCAUGUCAGUGUCAGACUACACCGCUCAGUUAUGGAAGAGGAAGACCGCUUGCGAUGGUGUUGUUUCAUGGGAGCUUGGAAGAACUAUUGAAUUGGACAAGCUACUUUCCCUGAAGUCGGAGGAUAAAAGCCCCAUAGCCCUUUCGAUACUAGGGUUUGCUGAGCAGAAUAAUGUCGUGUUAAUUUGGACAGUUAAUGGCAUCUUCAUGAUCCACCUCGAGUCAUUGAAUUUCAAGAAGCUUGCUGAAACCACCAUAACCCGUCAUCACUAUCAUCCAUUCGAAAGUGUCUACACUGCAGGUAAUAGCAUGGAUUACAUUGUCGAUACAAAAAAACAAAUUAUUAUUCAACAAUUGGCUGAUGCAAUUAUGCUCACGUCAUUCCGUGUUAAGCCAACAAUUUGA